AGCUCUGAAGGCAGCACAGAAGUAAGGGUGGCAAUACUGCGACCGCCCCCCUACAAUAACUUUGCGACCCCCAUGCAACUCCCUUUUAGGUCAGGACUCCCAAUUUGGGAAAUGCUGGUCUCCCCUGUGAAAUCUGUAUAGCAUAGUGUAAAAUUACACAAAAGACCAGAUUUCACAGUUGUCACGCGGUUUUUAUGGCU